CAUUGUUCCAGUUAAAAGUCUAGCAGCUUCAUUUUGAACGAUUUGUAGUCAGGAAAGUGUUGAAUGGGUCAACCCCAUAUACAGGGAAUUACAGUAGUCCAGCCGUGAGGUAAUAAGCGCACGUAAGGUAAGGUAAGCAGAAUAUCUGCGCCCGGAUGGCAGCAGCAUAAAUUCUACCCCACAAAGGAUGACAGGGAUCAGCCAGGAUGGCUCUCGUCUUCUUCAAGGAUCUGACCUUAUACAUGUCAUGUAGGUCAUGUAUAACUGUUUCAAUGGGAUAAAAAUGGCUUCAGUUUGGCUAUGGUUCUAAGCUGAUAAAGUAUCCAUAAAAACUUUUUUCCAACUUUUACCGACCAACUUAAAAAAAAGGUUGCAUUAUUAACCAUUGUUGUAGAAAAAUAAAAAAGCACAUGUCAAAUGUCAGAAACCUCAA